GAAAGGGUUAAGGAAGUCCACGUGCACAGGCCAUUUCCAGGUGGGGUGGUCAGGGAAGCCUUCCUGGAGGAGGUGGCACUGAGGUAGGAGGACCUAGAGGGGGGUUGAGGAGAGGGAGUGGAAGUACAGCCCCCAUAGUAGGAACAGCCUGAGCAGGAGCACUAAGGCCUGUGAGUGUCUGUCACUUUUGUUACUAUGGUUAAGGCAGAGUCUGGGUCCUCACUGUUUCCAGCAAGUUCUCUGUAAGAGUGCAUGGUUAGUGAGGGAUCCUGGGGAGGAGGAAGACAUGGACUUUCUAGAGAGAAGAAAGGAGUUUUGUUCCCUCAUUGGCCUCAGUCUUUCUCUUCCCUCUCUUCAUAGCCCUUAGAAGUGCAGACAUUGCAAAGCCCAUCCCCCUUCACAACUAACGCCACCCCUCUGAUGGCUGCAUCCCUCCCUAGGAAGAAAGAACUCCAGUGGCAGCCAAGAGCCCCUGCCAGAUGCUCCUCCCCACCACCCUGGCAUCUUGUGCAUAGUAGGUCUCGGGAAAUGCCUCCAUCAUGACUGCUAUUGGAAAGGAAGGCAAGUCUCCUGUUUGUUGCCCAGCGUGCUGGCUGUGAGUCACCUGGAGUUUCCUAGAGAUGGAGUUUCGCCAGGUUGCCCAUGCUGGUCUUGAACUCCUGGACUCAAGUGAUCCACUUGUCCUGGCCUCCCAAAGUGCUGGGAUUAUAGGCUAUAUAUUGCUCAAGAAAGAAAAAGCACUAAUGGCUGAGGUUAGAGAGAGCUUGCUGAGGAAGAGGGAACAUAAAUGGGAAAUACUGGCCUGGUAAAGUGGUGUGGCCAAAGGACAGCAUGGAGCAGAGUCAGGAUAAACUGCUCUGGGUGAAGAGCCAGAUUUGCUCUGGAAUGCAGCAAAAAGCUCCUUCCUGCUUUCUCAGCCCCUGCAGCAGCUCCUGCUUCACUCCGAGAAAAUGCCAGCCCCCUAAGAACCUGUCCCUUUGCAACAGUGGAUCCAAAAGCUGACCCAAGAGACCUUGAACUUAACACCUCUGUGUCAUGGGCUCCUUCUUAAUAAUAGAAAGAAGAUUGCUUUAGAAGGCUGGUUUGCAAACUAGUCUGCUGGGCACUAGAAGCCUUGGGAAGAUUUGAAAAAUAAAUCUUAUUGGCCUCACCAUUUCAC